UUGACCUCGGAUCAGGUAGGAAUACCCGCUGAACUUAAGCAUAUCAAUAAGCGGAGGAAAAGAAACCAACAGGGAUUGCCUCAGUAACGGCGAGUGAAGCGGCAACAGCUCAAAUUUGAAAUCUGGCCGUAAGGUCCGAGUUGUAAUUUGUAGAGGAUGUUUUGGGCACCGCUGUGGGUUAAAUUUCUUGGAACAGAAUGUCAAAGAGGGUGAGAGUCCCGUCUUGGCCCGCGGUAGGACCUAUGUAAAACUCCUUCGACGAGUCGACUUGUUUGGGAAUGCAGGUCAAAAUGGGUGGUAAAUUUCAUCUAAAGCUAAAUAUUGGCCAGAGACCGAUAGCGCACAAGUAGAGUGAUCGAAAGAUGAAAAGCACUUUGAAAAGAGAGUUAAACAGUAUGUGAAAUUGUUGAAAGGGAAGCGCUGGCAACCAGACUCGAGCGCGGUGUUCCCCCUGGCUUCUGCCUGGGUUAUUUCACCGUGACCGGGCCAUCAUCAGUUUUGAGGGCUGGUUAAAGACUCAGGGAAUGUAUCCACUCCUUCGGGGGUGGACUUAUAGCCCCGGGUGUCAUGCAGCCUCUUGGGACUGAGGAACGCGCUUCGGCGAGGAUGAUGGCGUAAUGGUUGUCAGCGAC
rnacentral:rRNA from 1 species